AUCACAGAUAGAUUGGACAAAUUAGAGCCACAAUUAGAAAGAACAAACUUAGGAACACCAAUAGUUCCACGACAAACAAUGGCAACGCAGAGGCAAUAUAUGCAAUACACUCCCAGGUACAGGCCACAUAUGGCGUUACAGUAUAGAAAUUGUAAUCAUAAUCAGCCGCGUUACACAAUUAGAAAUUCACAGUUUCGUUCGCAGGUAACUGAAAGACCGAGAUUUACUCCGAGAUUUAAUACGCCACGAAAUAACGAACGGGGUCCGCGCUUUGGAUAUCAACCGUCGCGUCCGUUGGAAAAUCAACGUCAACUCUCUACACAACAAAAUUAUU
rnacentral:lncRNA from 1 species